rnacentral:rRNA from 1 species
GAUGAACGCUGGCGGCGUGCUUAACACAUGCAAGUCGAACGGGAGCACCCCCCGACGGAGUUUUCGGACAACGAAAGGGAAAUGCUUAGUGGCGGACGGGUGAGUAACGCGUGAGUAACCUGCCUUGGAGUGGGGAAUAACAGCCGGAAACGGCGUGCUAAUACCGCAUGAAUCGUAUACUGGGACUCGCAGUGGUUCUGGAUACCAAAGAUUUAUCGCUCUGAGAUGGCCUCGCGUCUGAUUAGCUAGUU